AACGAACGCUGGCGGCAUGCCUAACACAUGCAAGUCGAACGAGACCUUCGGGUCUAGUGGCGCACGGGUGCGUAACGCGUGGGAACCUGCCCUUAGGUUCGGAAUAACUCCCCGAAAGGGGUGCUAAUACCGGAUAAUGUCUUCGGACCAAAGAUUUAUCGCCUUUGGAUGGGCCCGCGUUGGAUUAGCUAGUUGGUAGGGUAAAAGCCUACCAAGGCGACGAUCCAUAGCUGGUCUGAGAGGAUGAUCAGCCACACUGGGAGUGAGACACGGCAGAGACUCGUAAGGGAGGCAGCAGUGGGGAAUAGUGGACAAUGGGUGCAAGACUGAUGCAGCUAUAGCGCGUGGGUGAAGAAGGCCUUCGGGUUGUAAAGCACUUGUGUUGGGAAAGAAAAGCAGCAGGUUAAUACACCGAUGUUCGGACGGUACCCAAAGAAUAAGCACAGGAUAACUUCGUG
rnacentral:rRNA from 1 species